AUGGUUACAAACAGAUUGCUCUGGCAUAGACCCUAAAACAAUUACUAAAGACACACCCUUCAGCUAUGGAUGUGAUCAAGAACAGCCAUAUUCUUUUCAAAGCACCCUCACAGCUUUGAAACAGGGGCUUUUGGUCGACACAGUUGUGAAUAAUGAAGAAAUUGUGUGAAAUCACAAAGAAUGUUUUUACACAAGCAUCCGAAUUAUGCACCCACACUGAAAAAUCUGUGCAAACUACGUAUCUCAGUGUUUGAUGAAGAACAGACUGAUGGAAUCAUUGACAAAGUAUUCAGUGUUUUGGCAUUGAAAAUAAAAGAUUCAUCAAGCGUUUCUUAUGUUACGGAAGUCAUGACA